rnacentral:rRNA from 1 species
CAGCAGCCGCGGUAAUACCGGCGGCCCGAGUGGCGGUCACUAUUAUUGGGCUUAAAGCGUCCGUAGCCGGGUUGGGAAGUCCUCCGGGAAAUCUGGCCGCUUAACGGUCAGAAUGCCGGAGGAUACUCCCAGCCUAGGGAGCGGGAGAGGCCGAGGGUAUUCCCGGGGUAGGGGGGAAAUCCUAUAAUCCCGGGAGGACCACCUGUGGCGAAGGCGCUCGGCUGGAACGCGUCCGACGGUGAGGGACGAAGGCCAGGGGAGCAAACCGGAUUAGAUACCCGGGUAGUCCUGGCGGUAAACGAUGCGGACUUUGUGUCGGACAAGCUAUGAGCUUGUCCGGUGCCGGAGGGAAACCGUUAAGUCCGCCGCCUGGGGAGUACGGCCGCAAGGCUGAAACUUAAAGGAAUUGGCGGG